rnacentral:rRNA from 1 species
GAUGAACGCUGGCGGCGUGCUUAAUACAUGCAAGUCGAGCGAACGGACGAGAAUCUUGCUUCCCUGAUGUUAGCGGCGGACGGGUGAGUAACACGUGGAUAACCUACCUAUAAGACUGGGAUAACUUCGGGAAACCGUAUCUAACACCGGAUAAUAUUUUGAACCGCAUGGUUCAAAAGUGAAAGACGGUCUUGCUGUCACUAAUAGAUGGAUCCGCGCUGCAUUAGCUAGUUGGUAAGGUAACGGCUUACCAAGGCGACGAUGCAUAGCCGACCUGAGAGGAUGAUCGGCCACACUGGAACUGAGACACGGUCCAGACUCCUACGGGAGGCAGCAGUAGGGAAUCUUCCGCAAUGGGGGAAAGCCUGACGGAGCAACGCCGCGUGAGUGAUGAAGGUCUUCGGAUCGUAAAACUCUGUUAUUAGGGAAGAACAUCUGUAUGCGAAACUGUGGAGAGCUUGACGGUACCUAAUCAGAAAGCAACGGCUAACUACGUG